AUAAAUCUGGGUAUAUUCAGACAACGCGAAGAAAACUGAGCCCUUAGAGGGUCUCUAGUAUAUUUACAGAAGGGGAAAAAAUGAACAACACUUGCAAUACAUUUUGUACCGAGCAAAGAAACAAAAUGUACAGUAAAAAUGCUUUGGAAUCAUGUGUAUAGAAAAUGGGUGAGUGCACAUGUACAUACAUACACAAAAUUAGUACUGGACCUCUUGUAACUCCAGGUCGUAUGCAAUAGAGACAAUCCUAAAUAACUUACAACUAUGCAAUUGUGGCAUUGUUCAACAAAAAGACAGCUUGGCACCACCCAAAAAGACAAGAAUUCCGUGCAAAAACUUCAGUGGCACGGUGACAUGACGUUUGGUCAAAUUACAGGGACAAUCCAUUCAGUAAAAUCAACAGGAAAUUGUUCAGCCCGCUCCACCGCUCCAGGACUUAUUUCAGCAACAGACAAUUCUAGAUCAGUAGUCAUCAGUGAAGCAUGCUUCAGUACUUAUUUCUCUGCAGAGUAUACUGAGAGAAAUUAGUGUGAUUUCUUUGAAACAAACUAACACAAGAAUAGACGCAAUGGCCUCACCUUGCUCGUCAGCGACCCCUUCCGAACAACAUUAUCUUGCGAAAUAUGCACCUAAUCGAACAGGAAGCAAACUAAAAAUUAAAAGAUCCAUCACACACAUACCUGCUCGGCUUCUAUUGGCAGCUUGGCACCGGAGCUGUCGGGAACGAGUAGCUCAACACUGUCAGAAAUAUUGCGCGGCCUAGUCAUGGCAGUCCUGCCGCUGCUAGCCUCCAUGGCCAGCACAAAAAAAGGGCAUGUCGUUGGAGGUUGAGAACCAGAGAGGCAGAGACAACACUAAAGGGAAUAACGCCGACAUUGAAAACAAAGUAACUUACAGCCCAGUUCAUCUUCCUUAUUCACCUAGGCACGCUGAUCUCUGCACUCGCCGGUGCUAGUCGUCAUCCACAAGACAACGGGCAUGAGGAGCAGCAUCGCCGAUCCAUGGCUUUGUGAGCCGCAUAUAAGUCCCGCCCCAAAAGACGGAACCAGGGAGGGUUCCGGUGCAUCGGCCUGGGGUAGACUCAGUGAUCCCUUGACCAGCGGCAGCCUACGACGGAGUGGAGCCGCAACUCAAACCACUUCGCCUGCAACAGUGCGCAGCUGUCGGCCGUCCGCGGCGACCGGAUCUGGGAAUCCCUCUCCACAAAUCCCAACUUCUGUACUGUUGUGCACCCCCAUCACCGACCAAACCUCGCCGGAUAAGAGAGAGACCAACCUCCCUAACCCCACAGUGCCACCGGCGGAGGGAGCACCGCCGAGACAGGAAAGGAGCCAGGGGGAACCUUAUCCCACAGCGUUGACAUCGCCCCUGCCUGCCCGCCAGUGCCAGAAUAAAAUCCUAAAACAACAUUAUCUACAACCGCGUCGCGGUCGUACACUGUCCCGCACACCUCCCAGAGCCCGACGGCUUACCGGAGGCGAGGGAGACCAGCGGAGGCAGCACGCCUGGAAACCGCCUCUCGCGUCGGGAGAGAGACCAAGAGAUUUCCACCGUGUGUAGCGACUUUGAUAGGGGUACUCGAAGCUUCUGUUUCUUUCUCCAGAGAGAAAUAGAAACAAGUAGUCG
rnacentral:lncRNA from 1 species